GCGACUACAGAGAGAGAGAAAAAGGAAGAGAGGGGAGGGACGGAGAUGGGCUGUUGCGAGGAUACGGAAAACUACAGCGAAGGAGAGGAAGGAGGAACGAUUCUUUCGAAUGGACGAUAUGAGUGGAGAGAGUUGAAAGCCAAAGUUGUUGGAUAACCGACGCGGAAACGCGGGAUAAUGACUACUUUUUCAUAUUUUAAUUACGCAGUAAUUAAUUGAAAUGUUUCCCUGUUCGCGAGGGCACUCGAGCAAAAUGAGACGCGGGUACUGCCUCAGCUGAGACAGCUUCGGCUAUAUUUUCUUCUUCUUCUUUUCUCUCUCUCUCUCUCUUUCCUUUUUUCUUUUCUUUUUGUUAUUCCUUUCCUCUUUCUCUCUUUCUUUUUUCUUUUUCGUUCACCGACGAAGCAUUCGACCUCGACGGAUAGACGGCCGCGAUUUUUCCAUUUUUCUCUCCAUUCUUUCGGCCCUUUUCGCAGAAUUAAGUACUAGCUCCUUUGAUGAGCUACGUUUUCCCUUUUAAGCAAUUCCAUCGCGCCCGAUUCUCUACUUGGCAUCGAUUUUAACGCGAGUCUAUCCAACCACCUACCAACACAUCGUUUCAAGAUUUGGUAUUUUUCUGUGCCGUAUUAAUUAUUCCUUCCCUCCUUAUUUCAUGAAACACAAAACGUCCAUUGAAAUGAAUAAAUACUACGAUUCAUUUUACAGUAAUAUAUCAAUAGUAAAACACGCGAAUAUAAAUCUGUCGAGUCGAGCGUUGAUAUUAACUACUGGAAAUUGUUACUACAUAAGAACUACUAGUAUUACCUCUGCUAGUAAUAUUAUUACUACUACUCUUCUAUCCAGGAGCACUAUUCUUUUGCAUCCGGUUGGCUUGUUGUGUUUCAUUUUCACGACCCCUAGUUUACUCUACAGUGUCGGCAUAACAAUGAAAGCGAAAAAAUCGAGAAGGAAAUAAAGUGAGAGAAACGAGGUGGAAGGGAGAGAAAGAGAUAGCCAUUGUUUCCGGUAACUCUUUCGCGGUAACGAGGAGGAACCUCAAUUAGAACGGUUUGAGGACUUAAACGCCCAGAGGCUGCCGGGUUUUAAGAGGCAAGGAUGCAGUAACGUCGACAUGGAAGCAUUGUUUCUCCAAGCAAUAAUGCAAACGAUACCCUAAGCGCGUGAAAGACGUUCCGGCAUCUCUCUUACCACUCACUACUGCAAGUUAUGACGUAUUGUCUAAUAUCUAUGUGUAAUACACAUAUAUUUGGAACUUUUUCAUUGUUCUAGCACGUAGUUGAAGUAAUAGAAUUAUUCUCAAGUAAGGAAAAACAAAUUAAAAUAUAUUCUCGUUUCAGAUUCUAUCUCUAAGACAAUUUGUACAAAUUUCAUAUACUGUAUUCAUACAUGAACUCGAUAAAUAACGAAGAUAGGAUUUCUUCCAUUUGAUGCUUGAACAAAAAUCAAAUUUGUUCUUUGAAGCUCGAUAUAUGGCGUGUACCAGCAGUAACCAUAAAUCAUCUGGAAGUCCUGCUACCCUGUCGUUACGAAAACGCCAAGGGUGUUUUCAGAGUAUGAAGGAUACAAAGCUGAGGAGAGAUCCUUCAGGUUACGUUUCUGAGUUAUAGCAGCCUGGUGUUGCAAAUGCUUCUGGCGCCACUCUCUUGACGAAUGACAGGACAUUGACGAGCAUGAAAGGGAAGGAUACGAAGGAAAUCAAGAUAAUCGUGUGGAAAGAUGUGGUAUGUCACAA